GACGAACGCUGGCGGCGUGCUUAACACAUGCAAGUCGAACGGAAAGGCCCUGCUUUUGUGGGGUGCUCGAGUGGCGAACGGGUGAGUAACACGUGAGUAACCUGCCCUUGACUUUGGGAUAACUUCAGGAAACUGGGGCUAAUACCGGAUAGGAGCUCCUGCUGCAUGGUGGGGGUUGGAAAGUUUCGGCGGUUGGGGAUGGACUCGCGGCUUAUCAGCUUGUUGGUGGGGUAGUGGCUUACCAAGGCUUUGACGGGUAGCCGGCCUGAGAGGGUGACCGGCCACAUUGGGACUGAGAUACGGCCCAGACUCCUACGGGAGGCAGCAGUGGGGAAUAUUGCACAAUGGGCGGAAGCCUGAUGCAGCAACGCCGCGUGCGGGAUGACGGCCUUCGGGUUGUAAACCGCUUUCGCCUGUGACGAAGCGUGAGUGACGGUAGAUGGAGAAGAAGCACCGGCUAACUACGUG
rnacentral:rRNA from 1 species